rnacentral:misc_RNA from 1 species
GAUGAAGAACGUAGCGAAAUGCGUUAAGUAAUGUGAAUUGCAGAAUUCAGUGAAUCAUCGAAUCUUUGAACGCAUCUUGCGCUCCUUGGUAUUCUGAGGAGCAUGCCUGUUUGAGUGUCAUUAAAUUCUCAACUACACUGACUUUGAAUUGGUGUGGCUUGGAUUUGGGGGGAAAAUUGUUGUGGGCUUUUUGUAUAGUCUGCUCCCCUGAAAUUGAUUAGCGGUACCUUUGUGGAACUGUCUACAGGUGUGAUAAUUAUCUACAUCUUAGACAUCUGCUGGAAUGCUGCUUUCUAAACCUUACUUGUAUUGACAAUCUUGACCUCAAAUCAGGUAGGACUACCCGCUGAACUUAAGCAUAUCAAUAAGCGGAGGA